GCCUGGAUAGCUCAGUGGGAUAGCACAUGGCGUUGAUAACACCAAGGUUGCAGGUUCAAUCCCCAUAUGGGACA